rnacentral:rRNA from 1 species
UUGGAGGGCAAGUCUGGUGCCAGCAGCCGCGGUAAUUCCAGCUCCAAUAGCGUAUAUUAAAGUUGUUGCAGUUAAAAAGCUCGUAGUUGAAUUUCGGGGUUAGUAGGUUGGUCAUGCCUCUGGUAUGUACUGGUCUCACUGAUUCCUCCUUCCUGAUGAACCGUAAUGCCAUUAAUUUGGUGUUGCGGGGAAUUUGGACUGUUACUUUGAAAAAAUUAGAGUGUUAAAGCAGGC